GACGAACGCUGGCGGCGUGCCUAACACAUGCAAGUCAACUUGACUGAAGGAGCAAUCUGACAGUAGAGUGGCGCAAGGGUGCGUAACGCGUAAGUAACUUGCCCAAGGUAAGGAAUAACGUCGAGAAAUCGGCGCUAAUACCUCAUAAUGCAGCGGAUCCGCAUGGAUAUGUUGUUAAAGGUUUACCGCCUUGGGAUAGGCUUGCGUCUGAUUAGCUAGUUGGUGUGGUAACGGCACACCAAGGCUACGAUCAGUAACUGGUCUGAGAGGAUGAUCAGUCACACUGGAACUGAGACACGGUCCAGACUCCUACGGGAGGCAGCAGUGAGGAAUAUUGGGCAAUGCUCGAAAGAGUGACCCAGCAACGCCGCGUGGAGGAUGAAGGUAUUCUAUAUCGUAAACUCCUGUGAGAGCAGACGAAAGACAGAUUAUUAAUCUGGAUGACUGUAUGCUCAGAGGAAGCCCCGGCU
rnacentral:rRNA from 1 species